GUUUUUCACCUCAAAUGAUAAUAAGCCUUUUUCUUAGGGCUAAUGAUAUAUUAAUGACCCACCUAGAUUGCACAAUUCUUCAUUCCAAGCAGGAAUUAUUGGUCCUAGUACAAAUGUAGUCAUCAUGAUCAGAAUAGUUGUACCAAAAUAAUGAAAUAAACCCAAUUAGACUAGCACCUUAACCCUCAAAAUCAUUAAAGAACGAACUGCCUCACCCAGUCACAAAUAAAAUAACCUUGCAUAAUUUGCCAUAGACGAAUUUGAAUUACAAUAUACUACUGAAAAAGCAAGAUGCAACAAUCCCAAACCCAAUUUAACCAAAAAUUUUUAUUUUUACGAACCAGGUGCCUCAGCACAUCAUUAAGCAUAUAGCAACCACUAUGCAUAAGUUAAUCACUACAUAAACCAAACUAAUAAUAAUUGGAACCUUACCGA
rnacentral:misc_RNA from 1 species